GACGAACGCUGGCGGCGUGCUUAACACAUGCAAGUCGAACGAUGAAGAAAAGAAUCGAAGCUUCGGCAGAAAUUCAUUUCGGAUUAGUGGCAGACGGGUGAGUAACGCGUGAGCAACCUACCUCUUACAAAGGGAUAGCCUCGGGAAACCGGGAUUAAUACCAUAUAACAUUGUGACGAAGCAUUUCGAUGCAAUCAAAGCUACGGCGGUAAGAGAUGGGCUCGCGUCCCAUUAGCCGGAUGGUGAGGUAACGGCUCACCAUAGUGACGAUGGGUAACCGGCCUGAGAGGGUGAACGGUCACACUGGAACUGAGACACGGUCCAGACUCCUACGGGAGGCAGCAGUGGGGAAUAUUGCACAAUGGAGGGAACUCUGAUGCAGCGACGCCGCGUGAGUGAUGAAGGAAUUCGUUUCGUAAAACUCUGUUCUAUGGGAAGAAAAGGACUGUACCAUAGGAGAAAGCUCCGGCUAAAUACGUG
rnacentral:rRNA from 1 species